rnacentral:tRNA from 1 species
GUGGACGUGUUGUAACUGGCAACAUGCUGGUUUCUGCCAAUCUGGCGAUGCGGGUUCGACUCCCGUCGUUCACACCA